rnacentral:rRNA from 1 species
AUGAACUUCCACGACGUCCACACGCUGCAGCAGGCGCUGGACGUCGUCCCGCCGCCUCGUCUUUGCACGGCACAAGACCGUGCGUAUCACGCUGAGCGGCAGAACCGCCUCCUCGUCGCCCAUGAGGACGAGCGGAUCAUGGCGGAGUGGCGCCAGCAACACCCGGAGGACGUCACCUACGAGCAAGCCUACUGGGCAAGGCGCCGCGAGGAGGAGACGCAAAGGCGCCGCGCUGAGCGGUUGGACAGGCGUCGGCGGAAGGCCCUGGCGCUGUCCCAACAUGUGGCUCGAUACCUCGGAUCAGACCAGCGAGGAUGGCGACGAUGA